GCCACCAUUGUAUCAAUCUGUACGUCUAAGCUUGCUGAAGUUGCAUUGUUGCGAUCGAAGCUCCUUUGUCGCGUGUUUUGUCGCGUGUUUCGAAAUAAUAUCACAAGCGCACCAAUUUGCUAUGAUUGUGAACACUUCUCUCUGAAAUACUAUGUUUAUUACUCAAUAUAUAUCUCAUGUAACUAACGCAUAUUGAUUUCAUUAUAAUCAAGUUGACUCAUAACUUCAACAAGCGUUUGUUACAACAAGCAUAACUGAAAUGUAAACAGUAUUCCGACUACUUAUACUAACUCUCUUUAAUGGUCUUGUCAUCUUCAGUCCACCUCCUCAACUCUUAAAUUUUUUAUUUUUUUUUAUUUGAUUUUAUUCCAUAAACCCAAUGGGCAUUGCUAACAAAAACAACAUAGGAAUUGAACAAAAGUCGGUACAAACAUUCAAUCAAACUUCUCGAAUUCACAAGACGACACAGUCGAGCUACGGGCAUAGCUCCGGGCCAGGCUUCAUCUUGAAAUCGAUUGAGCUGAAUCCGGGUAAGGAGCCAUAGCAUCCCAUUCGCCUCCAACUCUUAAAUUCUUCUUUAAUUACCAACUCAUCUUUUUCACCAGCUUCUUUCUUCGAUAUAAGCCCUCAAUGGCCUAUCAUCCCUACACAUUUUCAUUGCUUCAACCUUUAUACUCGGGUGAACUUUAGAAUAUUGGAUAAACCAAUAUUAUAAUAUCUAAAUGUACCGUGAUUGAU
rnacentral:lncRNA from 1 species